rnacentral:rRNA from 1 species
GACGAACGCUGGCGGCGUGCUUAACACAUGCAAGUCGAACGGAAAGGCCCUGCUUUUGUGGGGUGCUCGAGUGGCGAACGGGUGAGUAACACGUGAGUAACCUGCCCUUGACUUUGGGAUAACUUCAGGAAACUGGGGCUAAUACCGGAUAGGAGCUCCUGCUGCAUGGUGGGGGUUGGAAAGUUUCGGCGGCUGGGGAUGGACUCGCGGCUUAUCAGCUGGUUGGUGGGGUAGUGGCUUACCAAGGCUUUGACGGGUAGCCGGCCUGAGAGGGUGACCGGCCACAUUGGGACUGAGAGACGGCCCAGACUCCUACGGUAGGCAGCAGUGGGGAAUAUUGCACAAUGGGCGGAAGCCUGAUGCAGCAACGCCGCGUGCGGGAUGACGGCCUUCGGGUUGUAAACCGCUUUCGCCUGUGACGAAGCGUGAGUGACGGUAAUGGGUAAAGAAGCACCGGCUAACUACGUG